UCCUACGGGAGGCAGCAGUGGAGCAUGUGGGCCUACGGGAGGCAGCAGUGGGGAAUAUUGGACAAUGGGCGAAAGCCUGAUCCAGCCAUGCCGCGUGUGUGAAGAAGGCCUUUUGGUUGUAAAGCACUUUAAGCGAGGAGGAGGCUACUGAGAUUAAUACUCUAGGAUAGUGGACGUUACUCGCAGAAUAAGCACCGGCUAACUCUGUGCCAGCAGCCGCGGUA
rnacentral:rRNA from 1 species